GGCGGGUAUUUCGUAAUUUCUUUUUGGUUUUAAGAAGCAACGAACGGACUGAGCGGAAAAAAGACGUACUGUAAUAGGUUUCUUUUAGAAGAGAGUAUAAGGCGAUCUGUUGUAGGUUUCCUGAUUGCUGACAUACAGACACACUCUUCGGGUUCGGGUUUGCUACAAAGCCGCUAAGGGUGGUAUAUAGGUAGUUCCCAAUUUACAACAGUUCGGUUAGAGACCGUUCAAAGUUACAAUGGCACUGAGAAAAGUGACCCAUGACUGUUUUUCACACUUAACGAGUGUUGCAGCAUUUCCCGUAGUCAUGUGAUCAAAUGCUGGGCGCCUGGUUUGUAUUUAUGACAGUUGCUGUGUUCUGGGGGGGUGGUGGUGGUCUGGGUGUCAUGUGAUCACCUUUUGGGACCUGACAAGCAAUCAGGAAGCCAGAUUAGCUUAAUAACCAUGUUACUAACAACUUCAGUGAUUCACUUAACAACUGUGGCAAGAAAAAGUUGUAAAAUGGGGCAAAACUCAUUUAAUAACUGUCUUGCUUAGCAACAGAAAUGUCGGGCUCAAUUAAUUAAGCUAAUCCUGUGAAAUUAUUGCCCAUGGACUACGUUAUAAAACAAAAUAUAGAUUCAUAUUUUUGUGACACUACAGUUGUCAAGGCAUAAGUGACUCAUAGGCACUCAUGUUUUUUAACUAGAGAUGUUUUAAGAUUACCUGUAAUGCUAUAUGUAACAAAUUUCAGUUGAGUUUUUGUUCCUGGGUAAACAGUGUGUUUUCCUAAUCCCUCAUGCCUAAAAUAAAGAGAAAAUAGUUAUUGUUCCACAAAAACAUUGCUUGUGUAUUCAGGACAAUAUUUUGAUAUUUAUCUGUUUUCAAGAUCGUUCUCGAUUAACAUUGAAUGCUGUGUAGACUUCCAGGAUAUUCUGGAACUGAGAGCUAUCCAGAAGUUUCUAGGAUUGGUCAGAAUUUCCUAGAAUUUUCUGGAAUCCUUUAGAACUUUAUAGCUCUUUUUGGGACCAUCCAAUAGUAUCCAUAGAAAUAUAAAAGUACUGGUACCUUAAACCAACAUUUUAAUUUGUCUAAUUACUGAGUAGGAGAAUAAUGAAAUAUUUGAUUUAGAUGGUAUCAAGAGGUUGCUUGCAUCCAGCAGGUGCAUUUUGCUAUGUAUGUGGACAAUUAUCAAGACAAGAAUGAAAAGUACUCUGUGAAAGCAUAUUAAGAUGUGCAAGGCCUACAAAACAUAUUUUGGCAUGCCUGUUGCUGAUCGAGACAAGCCCUGGGCACCUUAUUUCACAUGCGAACAUUGCAAGAUAACUCUUGAAGGCUGGUACAGGGGAGAAAAGAGAGCCAUGAAGUUUGCUAUCCCAAGAAUUUGGCAGGAACUGACUGACCACUCAAGCAACUGCUACUUCUGCAUGGUGGACCCUCCCAGACGUUGAACUGGCAAGAGCAUGCCUAUCAUGUAUUCAGACAUUCUUUCAUCCAUCGCCCAGUAUCACACUGCCCUGAGCUCCCUUUUCCUACCCCUCUGGAAAGGGGUCGGCUAUCUUUAGCGGUGAGAAUCAAGUCAGACAGUGAGGAAGAUUACAAUUUUACAGAUGCCGCCAAGGAAAGAAAGCCAUCCUUCCCCAGUCAGAAAGAUCUCGUUACCAAGUCCCAAGCUGUUGAAUGAAAGUGUGCAAGUCACAGAUCAGAGAAGGCGUAUAAUUUAAUAAUGGAUCACAUGAGGCUCAUGUGUAUGUCAUUCAUUCAUUCUUGUUAUCCCAUCCAUAGCGUGAUCUUAAUCUUCUAAGAUUUUUACAAUGCUCCUCUUAAGAUAAAAUACAGCAAUAGGCAAUCUAAUGCUUGCCCUCCAGGCGCUUGGAGCUCAGUUUCCAUUUCCUCCAACCAGUCAUAUUCUGUGAUUAAUGACACACCAGUGCUUCACAAAAAUGUAAAUUGGAGCUAUGAUUCCACAUGCUCACAUGCACCUCCAAUCCUUUUCUUUUUUUAUUUGACAAAGAUGACCAAAAUUGAUUCAAGAUAAAUUAAUAAUUAGGAUAAUGAAGUACAACAUGACCCAUUAUCAAAGUUAAGUUUAAAAUAUCUCUAAAAUAUACAGCUACUUUCCACAUUACUGGAAUUAUUAAAUUAUCAAAUACUAGAAUUAAAUUUUAAUUCAAUGGAGACUAACCAUUUUAAGUCAUUGAAGUGUAACAAGUAGCCAUAAAUGAAUAAAUAUAAUACAAGUAUCAAUUAUUGUAACUUAAUCUUGUAAAAUGACAGUUGUUUUCCAAUUCUCUCCUGAGACUCUAAAAAGGAAACAAAACUACUCUUGACAAAUAGCAACGAUGAUAGAGCAGAAUUUGGCCACUGCUUCGAAGUCAUUUCUGAAGUGUCUUUCAAAAAGGGGGAAGGGAAGUUAAGAUUGGUAGCUGCUUUGCUAUUGGUUAUUAACAGUUUUUAUGAAAAUCUGAAUAAAAGGAGCAACUAAGAA